GUCAACAACUCCUUAUUAUGAAGGCACUUCUGAGCCUUUCCUCCUGCAUCUGGGAGCUACCAGCAACCCAGUUCCAGGAGAGAAAAUAGCUCGACACCUCCUGCAGCCCGUGGAGUCCUCUUGUUGGGACAAGGUCCCCCCAGGAGAGAGGAACCCCCAGCAGGUUCAACACUGGAGGUCCUGGGAGUGGGUGGUGCUGGGGAGGCCAUGCGGGGAGGGCUGUUCCCUGUUCCCUUCCCCUCAGGAGACAGUUUGCCCAAGGUGACACAGCACCGGAUGGGAUUUCAGGGUCAGGGACCACGGACCCCGGAGCUGUGGACCACACCAGCCCAAAGCCACUGCAUGCCCCACACCGGGGCUGUGGAUCACACCAGCCCACGGCCACUGCAUGCCCCAGACCAACACGAGAAGAGUGCAGACCAACAACAUCUUCGUCUACGGGAGCCGGUCCCGGGGCCAGCCUCGCUGUCCUCAAGGAGUCGAUCCCGGGGCCAACCUCGCUGGACUCAGAAAGUCGGUUCCAGGACCCCAUGGACACCAAAUCCAGGCACAUUCAAACCGCACAGGUGGACCUGCUGAACCUGCGUGUACAAAGACUCGGCCCUCCGACAAGCGUUUCACAUGGCAGGAACACUGUAUUUUCUGCGUGUACAAAGAAUCAGCCCUCCGACAUGAGUUUCACGUAGCAGAACACUGUAUUUUCUCCCUGAGUUUGGUUGAAAAAAUCCACCUAUAAGUUGACCCGCAAAGCUCAAGCUUGUGUUGGACAAGAGUCAACUGUAUGCAAUUGACACUGAUUCCUACCAACAAUAUCCAGAUCUUACCAUGACCAGCAUGAUAAACAGAAUGAGCAAAAUUUAAAAACUAAAGCAGAGUUUUUUCCUGCGAGUUGGUGCACUGCGUAUCCCCUGUGGGAAAGACCACACUGGCUGCUGACCAAACUCCACCGGCCUCUUCCUCCGUCCUGAGGGCAUCUUCCUCCAUCCUGACAGCAGCCUGGGCUCACCUCAGUCCCAGGGCAGGGGAGGGGGACGCACUGUGCACCCUCCCAGCUCUCCUCCGCCCCUUCCCUCACGCUGGCCCAAGAGCAGCCUGGACACUCACUUGCUGGGGACACCAAGUUGCCCCUCCUCCGCCCACAGCCUCAGGCCACCUGUCUCAUCUGUGACUGAGAAAUAGAGCUGCAGCUGGAGGCGGGAGGCGGGACACGCUGGGAUCUACCCAUGGCCAGGCCGAGCUGCUCGGAUCACUCAAACUUCACUUUCCUCACUCGCUCUACCAAAUAGACUAGAAUAAAAUAUGUCGCAUCCUCCUUUCCACACA